UAUAUAGCUAGAGCUACAAAGCCAAGGACAUCAUUGUCUCGCAUACUGAAUUGCUGGCAUCUAGAACUCCUUCAGUCCUACGUAUACACAUACUAAACGGUUCAUCGACCUCUAAUGGCUCGUGUGGCAGUGCUGAUGUUAGUUGCUGCCAUUGGACUUACCAUGCUCUUUCAAGAAGGAGAAAGCUUUCUUUUUGGUAAAAAGGCUCCGAUUGAGGGAAACCCCAAUUCAAUCGAAGAGAAAUACGAAACUAAGGCCGAACCGCAAGAUGACAAGUUGAAAGAAAUAGAUGCUGCAUACGAGAACCGAGCUCAACAGAAGCGUUGAACGAGAUGUUGGCUUCAACCAUUGACUUGCAGCUAGUGCUUAAUUCAUUAGAGCGCUUGCGUAGCACUAGCUGAAUCAGUUUCUGCUGAAAACUGCUGCUUUUUGCUGAUUAGUGCAUGAGUGUUGAUCUGUCUGCAUUAGAAUUUGCCAUUGUUGCGAAAAA